rnacentral:lncRNA from 1 species
AUUUCGUAUUCUAACAUUUAAUACUUAUUUUCAUACAAUUUUAAAAUAAAACUGUAACAUCCUGUUAUAUGAUGAAUAAAGGAGUCUAAUAACAAAACAAAUACGAGUACAAAAUAUAUUAUACAAUAUAACAAAAUCAUCAUUUACAAAAUACUUGAUGUUCAAAUACAUCAGAGGUCAAGAAGAUAGCUAACAAAAAUAUAUACAACAUUGUUCCAGUCACUUCUAAUAUUACAAAAGAAAUAUAGUUCAUCAUAGUACAAUUAUCUAAAUGCACUCAAAAGUUCACUAUAGAUUCGUGAAUGGAUCUAAACAAAUUUCAAGGCGCAACUCGGGAAGUGAUUCUUCAUAAUCAUUAUUGUCUGGAGGGAAAUUGAUUGGAGUGAGUUCCAGAAGACUCAAUAAAGGAAAUCGUAUUAAAACUAAACUACUAAAUUUCAAAAGUUAUUUAGUUUUGAAAACAUGUCAUUUCCUUAUAAAUCAGUAGCUCACCUCUGACUUUAUCUCAUAACAUAUUCAUUUUGAAAUAUUUAGAAAAACGUUUGCCUUUUAAAUUAAAUCAGGAACAUCUAAUUUCUAGCCUCAAAUAUAAAAAGCAAAGAUGGAGCAAUGCAAUAUAAAAGAAUCAAUGAUACAACGAAACAAUGAGCAGUAUAGUAGAAACUAGUUAAACCAAUUAAGCAUGUCAUACAUGAUAGAACAUUAAAUAACAUACAGAAACUAAUCGAACCAACUAAAAAACAUGGCAAUGUCAUAACAGAACAGUGAGAAACAUAUUCAAUCCAAGGAAAAUUAUCUAAACAUGGGAAAUCAAUUAACAACUCUAGUUAUACCAUCAAUCAAUUUAAUUUAUUUAUGGUUUUUACAGAUUUUCACGCGAACCCGUUUUAACAUAUAUCAACAAAGGGCAGAAGGGAUCUCUGAGUACCACUAUUAAUAAGAAAUAGUUCAAUUCAAUAUUUCCAUAUAACAGUCGAAUACUAAUAACCACAAUCCUGCUUUGCCGCUGUGGUCCCUAUAAUCAGUCGCGAUUCCACUCUCGUCAUAAAGAAUGUAAUACCAUUCAUAGGAAGUGGUUCAUCAACAAUCAGUAGUAGUCCAUUCGAUAAUUUUUCAGUGAUAACGAUUAAACAGAUUUUUCAAUAUUUCUACUUUUUUUAUCAGUUCAAAAUCAUUAAUUAUUAUUUUUUACUAUCUAGAUAUAAUGGGUUCCACACCAAUCUUGGCCUAGUAAAGGCUCAUGUACCCAUAUUAGACAAUCGAGUUACCUGUUCGAGUUAGGCCCUAAAUGAGUAACCUUCUCAACCAUCGCCCUUAAAGCGAGGCCGAGGGUCCGACCCACACACCUAGCAUAUCAACUAAAACAAUGUCAAAGUGCAAAUCAUAUCCGUAUAUGAUACUAAAAUAAAACACUUAAUAAUCAUAUGACGUACGAUUCUCAAAACACAUUAUUUCAUGCAAAAAAAUUGACCAAGCAAUCAUAACCAUUUCAUUAUCCUUAAACGUUUUCAAUAUAUAGAAAACAAGUAUAGAAGAAUACAUAAAAAUAUUAAGAUCCCUUACUAAAAUCCAAGUUUUCGAUUUUUCCACAAUGGUGUUAUUUGCGUAAAUUUGAAGGAGAUGGAAGAGUCGUUCGACACCCAAUUUUUGAAAAGGUUUUUAAAAUUUUAAGGGAGAGUCUAAGAACGAGUACUUAAAAGUUUUUAAUGAAUCAUGAGAUCGAGAAACUCGCUUACCGUGUGAAAGAGAGUUUUCUUGAUCUCUUUUGAUUUCGUCUCUUUCUCUCUCUAACUUUAUCUCUCUACUUUCUCUCUAGCUUCUCUCUCUACUUUCUCUCUCUAGCUUCUCUUUUUCUCGUCACUCUUGGCCAAAUGGAAAAAUAUGAAAAAUGGAUCAGGAAAGGCUUUAAAUAGCCAAAAAAGGAGAGUUGCAUGUGCGCCAUAUGGCGACAUGCAUGUGUGCCAUAUGGCGACCGACAAUAGCUGGGAAUAGACGAUGAUGGGACAAUGACAAGCGGCAACAGAAGGAUGUGAUGUGCA